rnacentral:rRNA from 1 species
GACAGAGGGUGCAAACGUUGUUCGGAAUUACUGGGCGUAAAGCGCGUGUAGGCGGCUCUGUAAGUCGGGUGUGAAAUCCCACGGCUCAACCGUGGAAGUGCACUCGAAACUACAGGGCUAGAGUCCUGGAGAGGAAGGUUGAAUGCUUGGUGUAGAGGUGAAAUUCGUAGAUAUCAAGCGGAACACCGGUGGCGAAGGCGGCCUUCUGGACAGUGACUGACGCUGAGACGCGAAAGCGUGGGGAGCAAACAGG